rnacentral:rRNA from 1 species
AUUGAACGCUGGCGGCAUGCCUUACACAUGCAAGUCGAACGGCAGCACGGGAGCAAUCCUGGUGGCGAGUGGCGAACGGGUGAGUAAUACAUCGGAACGUGCCCAGUAGUGGGGGAUAACUGCUCGAAAGAGCAGCUAAUACCGCAUACGACCUGAGGGUGAAAGCGGGGGAUCGCAAGACCUCGCGCUAUUGGAGCGGCCGAUGUCAGAUUAGCUAGUUGGUGGGGUAAAGGCCUACCAAGGCAACGAUCUGUAGUUGGUCUGAGAGGACGACCGUCCACACUGGGACUGAGACACGGCCCAGACUCCUACGGGAGGCAGCAGUGGGGAAUUUUGGACAAUGGGGGCAACCCUGAUUCAGCAAUGCCGCGUGCAGGAAGAAGGCCUUCGGGUUGUAAACUGCUUUUGUCAGGGAAGAAAUCCUCUGGGUUAAUACCUCGGGGGGAUGACGGUACCUGAAGAAUAAGCACCGGCUAACUACGUGCCAGCCGCCGCCGUAACAC